rnacentral:rRNA from 1 species
AACGAACGCUGGCGGCAUGCCUAACACAUGCAAGUCGAACGAGACCUUCGGGCCUAGUGGCGCACGGGUGCGUAACGCGUGGGAACCUGCCCUUAGGUUCGGAAUAACUCCCCGAAAGGGGUGCUAAUACCGGAUAAUGUCUUCGGACCAAAGAUUUAUCGCCCUUGGAUGGGCCCGCGUUGGAUUAGCUAGUUGGUAGGGUAAAAGCCUACCAAGGCGACGAUCCAUAGCUGGUCUGAGAGGAUGAUCAGCCACACUGGGACUGAGACACGGCCCAGACUCCUACGGGAGGCAGCAGUGGGGAAUAUUGGACAAUGGGCGAAAGCCUGAUCCAGCAAUGCCGCGUGAGUGAUGAAGGCCUUAGGGUUGUAAAGCUCUUUUACCCGGGAUGAUAAUGACAGUACCGGGAGAAUAAGCUCCGGCUAACUCCGUG